CAAUGAUUAAAUGUAAUCUGAUGUACAGGAAACAAAGAGGCAAGAAGCAGCCAACAUGGAGGAUCUUUUCCUUGAAGUAACUGCAUGCAACGAACAACUUCAAUUAUGACAACAAAUUUGGGGAAAGGAGGAUUUGAAAGUGUUUAUUGUUUUGGGAUGGAUCACAAUCUUUAUAAGAGAUCAACCACUCAGAUACAAAAGAGAAGACGGCAAAUCAGAUUGUGUGUGUUUUGGAAAAGCAAAAAAUAUUCUCUGCACACACUCACAAAAAAAACUUGGCUGACCAAAACAGAAUUAGCAGGAGGCUACCUGAAACUAAUCAAUUUACAUCUAGAAGAACAAUGGGCCACACUCUGAUUCGUGAAAUCAAAGCAUUUCAAUUGAAUUUCAAGUUAAGAGCUUAAAAAUAAUAAACUCUGAUUAUGGAGGCCAAAGAAGAUAAAAGGAGCGAAGCGCAAUAGAACGGCUUUGAGGCUGAGUUUAUUUGAGGAUCUUCACUUACAGAGGUUGCUCUCUAGGAAAUGAGAGGAGACAAAACAAAGAGAGAGAGAGGAGAACAGGGAAUAAGGAAAAGAAGCAGAAGAUCAGAGGCGGAAAGUUGUUACUCAAAACAAAACAGUAAUUCCCGCAGCAAAGCGCGGGCAAAUAUUACUAGUGUAUAUAAACCUAGAAACUGCCAAACGGCCCAAACUCACCUCUGAGCUACCAGAAACUAGGGUUAGGGUUUUCCCUGCUCACACUUACAGACACGCCAAGUCGGAAACUAGGGUAAGAGAAGAUUAGCUGGGUUCAACACAGCUGGAUCGGAUCUCAACGAAGACCGCAGUGUAUCAUCCAUUUAUUUACUAAAUAUGAAACUCAUGGGGAUCAGAACUUAUCAGCUGAAAGGACCUAUUAUUUUGUUGCAGCAGUCUCCACAAGCAUUAAGUAGCAUACUUAUCUACCUUCCAUCAAAGUAAUGGAUACAUUAUUUACUGAAGCUGUAUUUGAACUUCUAUCAGGAGCAUUUUGAAAGGUUCCAUUUUCCCAGACCCCACUGCUCCAGUAUACUUCAUCUCGCC